UACGUAGGCAGCGAGCGUUGUUCGGAGUUACUGGGCGUAAAGGGUGUGUAGGCGGUUGUUUAAGUUUGGUGUGAAAUCUCCCGGCUCAACCGGGAGGUGCGCCGAAUACUGAAUGACUUGGAGUGCGGGAGAGGAAAGUGGAAUUCCUGGUGUAGCGGUGAAAUGCGUAGAUAUCAGGAGGAACACCGGUGGUGUAGACGGCUUUCUGGACCGUAACUGACGCUGAGACACGAAAGCGUGGGUAGCAAACAGG
rnacentral:rRNA from 1 species